rnacentral:lncRNA from 1 species
AUUUUUCCUGCACCCGAAAAUUGAGAGUUGUUCUCUAGUUUUCUUCUUCAAUUUUAGUAUUAGAUUUUACUCAAGAAAUAAGCCCAUCCUUAUUGAGUGAAAUUAAAACCCCAGAAUACAAUAGAAGAUUUGAAGGUCAAGUGAGCUUGGUAUUAAGGUAUUCGACCAUAGCAUAAUUUUUGGAGUGGUGUGUUUUUCCCAAAAAUGACUUCGGAGUGAUCUCUCCCAUUGUCAGAUUUAAUAGACGCAAUAAAGGUAUAUAUUUCUAGACUAGAUCUAUUUUUCCGCAAUCAUGUAGAUCUUUGCAUGCUGGGUAAUUUUUUUUGCGUAUAGAAUUUCGUACGAAUAAAUAAUUGGACUACUCGACCUCACAUCCCAACAAGUGGUAUCGGAGCAUCUCUGAUUUAUUCGUGCGUGAUUCACCAUGUUGUCCUAAUCACAUGAAAUUGGUCAUGCAUUGCAGGAUAGAUAAUGAGCUAUUUUGUGGUUAUAUAAUUUUGUUUUUAUAAUUUUUUUCGUGUGAUUGGAUCCCACUACCUUGUGAGUGGUUAAUUGUCGUUUUUAUUUCCAUGACGAGAUAUUGAUGGAAGAUUGUGUGCCUACGAUAUUUUUUUCAUUCUAUGUAAAUUUUUAAAUGAGAUGAUAUAUGAUGGUAUGUACUUUUCUAUUUUUUGUUUUGGUUGUAAUCCCGUAGAAAACGAAAAAUUGAAACGACAAGACAAGGCGAGGAGAUGAGCUGAGCAACGACCAUAGUGGUCGUUGCCCAGCCGCAGGAGGCCAGGCUGUUCCAGACCCAGGAGAUGGGCUAGGCCGUUCCACGCCUGGCAGGAGACGGCGAGCGGACACAGCCCAGGCACAUCCAGCAGGCGGUGGCGUCCUGGCGGUGGUUGCAGCGGGUCAGGCGGCAUCCAGACGGCUCGGGUAGGAGGCUCGGGCAGCGGGCGGCAACAUCAAAUUGUGGAGGAAUUUUAGUAACCCAAGAUUCUUCCAUAAUUUGAGAUAUUGGGGAUUCUUGGAAUAUACCUAUUUUACUAGUAGUCUAAAUUCAAGAGUCUCACCCUACUAUAGA